GACGAACGCUGGCGGCGUGCCUAAUACAUGCAAGUCGAGCGCAGGAAGCUGACGGAACUCUUCGGAGAGAAGGCAGUGGAAUGAGCGGCGGACGGGUGAGUAACACGUAAGGAACCUGCCUCAAGGAUUGGGAUAACUCCGAGAAAUCGGAGCUAAUACCGGAUAGUUCAACGGACCGCAUGGUCCGCUGAUGAAAGGCGCUUCGGCGUCACCUUGAGAUGGCCUUGCGGUGCGUUAGCUAGUUGGUGGGGUAACGGCCCACCAAGGCGACGAUGCAUAGCCUACCUGAGAGGGUGAUCGGCCACACUGGGACUGAGACACGGCCCAGACUCCUACGGGAGGCAGCAGUAGGGAAUCUUCCACAAUGGACGAAAGUCUGAUGGAGCAACGCCGCGUGGGUGAUGAAGGUUUUCGGAUCGUAAAACUCUGUUGUAAGGGAAGAACACGUACGAGAGGGAAUGCUCGUACCUUGACGGUACCUUACGAGAAAGCCACGGCUAACUACGUGCCAGCCGCCGCCGUAA
rnacentral:rRNA from 1 species